rnacentral:rRNA from 1 species
AGAGUUUGAUCCUGGCUCAGAACGAACGUUGGCGGUAUGCUUAACACAUGCAAGUCGUACGUGAAAGCUUCCUUCGGGAAGUUAUUAAAGUGGCGCACGGGUGAGUAACACGUGGAUAAUCUACCCGACAAUCAGGGAUAACAUUUCGAAAGGAAAGCUAAUACCCGAUACGCUGUGGAGUGAAAGAAUUUCGCCGAGGGAUGAUCUUGCGUCUGAUUAGCUAGUUGGUGCGGUAAUGGCGCACCAAGGCGACGAUCAGUAGCUGGUCUGAGAGGAUGAACAGCCACAUUGGAACUGAGACACGGUCCAAACUCCUACGGGAGGCAGCAGUGGGGAAUUUUCCGCAAUGGACGAAAGUCUGACGGAGCGACGCUGCGUGAAGGAUGACGGCCUGCGGGUUGUAAACUUCUUUUCUCGAAGAAGAAGCUCUGACGGUAUUCGAGGAAUAAGCAUCGGCUAACUCCGUGCCAGCAGCCGCGGU